rnacentral:rRNA from 1 species
CCCUUAGAUGUCCUGGGCCGCACGCGCGUUACACUGAUGCAUUCAACGAGCUUAUAACCUUGGCCGAGAGGCCUGGGCAAUCUUGUUAACGUGCAUCGUGAUAGGGAUAGAUUAUUGAAAUUAUUAAUCUUGAACGAGGAAUUCCUAGUAAACGCAGAUCAUCAAUCUGCAUUGAUUACGUCCCUGCCCUUUGUACACACCGCCCGUCGCACCUACCGAUUGGAUGGUCCGGUGAAGCCUCGGGAUUGUGGUUCUUGCCGCUUUGUUGUGGCGUGACCGCGAGAACUUGUCUAAACCUGAUCAUCUAGAGGAAGGUGAAGUCGUAACA